rnacentral:rRNA from 1 species
AGUGAACGCUGGCGGUAGGCCUAACACAUGCAAGUCGAACGGCAGCACAGUAAGAGCUUGCUCUUACGGGUGGCGAGUGGCGGACGGGUGAGGAAUACAUCGGAAUCUACUUUUUCGUGGGGGAUAACGUAGGGAAACUUACGCUAAUACCGCAUACGACCUACGGGUGAAAGCAGGGGAUCUUCGGACCUUGCGCGAUUGAAUGAGCCGAUGUCGGAUUAGCUAGUUGGCGGGGUAAAGGCCCACCAAGGCGACGAUCCGUAGCUGGUCUGAGAGGAUGAUCAGCCACACUGGAACUGAGACACGGUCCAGACUCCUACGGGAGGCAGCAGUGGGGAAUAUUGGGCAAUGGGCGCAAGCCUGAUCCAGCCAUACCGCGUGGGUGAAGAAGGCCUUCGGGUUGUAAAGCCCUUUUGUUGGGAAAGAAAAGCAGCAGGUUAAUACCCCGCUGUUCUGACGGUACCCAAAAAAUAAGCACCGGCUAACUUCGUG